GACGAACGCUGGCGGCGUGCUUAACACAUGCAAGUCGAACGGAAAGGCCCUGCUUUUGUGGGGUGCUCGAGUGGCGAACGGGUGAGUAACACGUGAGUAACCUGCCCUUGACUUUGGGAUAACUUCAGGAAACUGGGGCUAAUACCGGAUAGGAGCUCCUGCUGCAUGGUGGGGGUUGGAAAGUUUCGGCGGUUGGGGAUGGACUCGCGGCUUAUCAGCUUGUUGGUGGGGUAGUGGCUUACCAAGGCUUUGACGGGUAGCCGGCCUGAGAGGGUGACCGGCCACAUUGGGACUGAGAUACGGCCCAGACUCCUACGGGAGGCAGCAGUGGGGAAUAUUGCACAAUGGGCGGAAGCCUGAUGCAGCAACGCCGCGUGCGGGAUGACGGCCUUCGGGUUGUAAACCGCUUUCGCCUGUGACGAAGCGUGAGUGACGGUAAUGGGUAAAGAAGCACCGGCUAACUACGUGCCAGCAGCCGCGGUGAUACGUAGGGUGCGAGCGUUGUCCGGAUUUAUUGGGCGUAAAGGGCUCGUAGGUGGUUGAUCGCGUCGGAAGUGUAAUCUUGGGGCUUAACCCUGAGCGUGCUUUCGAUACGGGUUGACUUGAGGAAGGUAGGGGAGAAUGGAAUUCCUGGUGGAGCGGUGGAAUGCGCAGAUAUCAGGAGGAACACCAGUGGCGAAGGCGGUUCUCUGGGCCUUUCCUGACGCUGAGGAGCGAAAGCGUGGGGAGCGAACAGGCUUAGAUACCCUGGUAGUCCACGCUGUAAACGGUGGGUACUAGGUGUGGGGUCCAUUCCACGGGUUCCGUGCCGUAGCUAACGCUUUAAGUACCCCGCCUGGGGAGUACGGCCGCAAGGCUAAAACUCAAAGGAAUUGACGGGGCCCCGCACAAGCGGCGGAGCAUGCGGAUUAAUUCGAUGCAACGCGUAGAACCUUACCUGGGUUUGACAUGGAUCGGGAGUGCUCAGAGAUGGGUGUGCCUCUUUUGGGGUCGGUUCACAGGUGGUGCAUGCCUGUCGUCAGCUCGUGUCGUGAGAUGUUGGGUUAAGUCCCGCAACGAGCGCAACCCUUGUUCACUGUUGCCAGCACGUUAUGGUGGGGACUCAGUGGAGACCGCCGGGGUCAACUCGGAGGAAGGUGGGGAUGACGUCAAGUCCUCAUGCCCCUUAUGUCCAGGGCUUCACGCAUGCUACAAUGGCUGGUACAGAGAGUGGCGAGCCUGUGAGGGUGAGCGAAUCUCGGAAAGCCGGUCUCAGUUCGGAUUGGGGUUUGCAACUCGACCUCAUGAAGUCGGAGUCGCUAGUAAUCGCAGAUCAGCAACGCUGCGGUGAAAAAGUUCCCGGGGCU
rnacentral:rRNA from 1 species